rnacentral:rRNA from 1 species
GCGCACGCUGGCGGCAGGCUUAACACCUGCCAGUCGAGCGGGCAUCUUCGGAUGUCAGCGGCAGACGGGUGAGUAACACGUGGGAACGUACCCUUCGGUUCGGAACAACUCUGGGAAACUGGAGCUAAUACCGGAUACGCCCUUAUGGGGAAAGGUUUACUGCCGAAGGAUCGGCCCGCGUCUGAUUAGCUAGUUGGUGGGGUAACGGCCUACCAAGGCGACGAUCAGUAGCUGGUCUGAGAGGAUGAUCAGCCACACUGGGACUGAGACACGGCCCAGACUCCUACGGGAGGCAGCAGUGGGGAAUAUUGGACAAUGGGCGCAAGCCUGAUCCAGCCAUGCCGCGUGAGUGAUGAAGGCCUUAGGGUUGUAAAGCUCUUUUGUCCGGGACGAUAAUGACGGUACCGGAAGAAUAAGCCCCGGCUAACUUCGUG